AACGAACGCUGGCGGCAUGCCUAACACAUGCAAGUCGAACGAGACCUUCGGGUCUAGUGGCGCACGGGUGCGUAACGCGAGGGAAUCUGCCCUUGGGUUCGGAAUAACAGUUAGAAAUGACUGCUAAUACCGGAUAAUGUCUUCGGACCAAAGAUUUAUCGCCCAGGGAUGAGCCCCGCGUAGGAUUAGCUAGUUGGUGAGGUAAAGGCUCACCAAGGCGACGAUCCUUAGCUGGUCUGAGAGGAUGAUCAGCCACACUGGGACUGAGACACGGCCCAGACUCCUACGGGAGGCAGCAGUGGGGAAUAUUGGACAAUGGGCGAAAGCCUGAUCCAGCAAUGCCGCGUGAGUGAUGAAGGCCUUAGGGUUGUAAAGCUCUUUUACCCGGGAUGAUAAUGACAGUACCGGGAGAAUAAGCCCCCGGCUAACUCCGUGCCAGCAGCCGCGGU
rnacentral:rRNA from 1 species